ACAUAUGUCACAUCUGGCGUCAUCAUCACAAGGAGGAAUAUUAUGAACUGAGUGUUGGUGACGACAUUCCAGGGAAAAAUCACAAGCUAGUGACGCGUUUUCUAUCAUCCACCAGAGACGACGUGCGGCUAAUUAACGAGCCAGAGAGGAGAGAAAACCUGAGGCGACGAGUCAAAGUGGAAGGAAAAAGGGAGGAGGAGGAGCGAGAGGAUGAGAGAUAAUCUGUCUGCUGUCACACGCGGCUGUCAGCGUGUCAGAGAGACGAGAGGAUUUAAUGUGUUAUUUUUGUUUGUAGGAUGUGUAAUUUGUUAAAAAAUGACACGAACAGCGCCGUGAUAGGCG